GGAUUUUUCUGACAAGAUAUUUUGACUUCUCAUUUAUUCUUACAAUAUUUUGUAUUUUUUUCCUUAAAGAUUCUCUUAUUUUUGUGAAAAAUUAGUUUGUGAUUCCUUACUGCUUGCUGCAAACUUAAAACACUGGACUCCAAAUUCUCGCCCCCCUAACGAACCUGCAACUCAGACUGAAAUAUAUCAAGAAAGGGGAAUACUUUUGCAGAUAGAACAUGAAGAUAUUUGUACAGACUGGUGAUGAAAGAACCCAAAGUGUCACAAACCUGAAGGUGAGAUUGACAUCUACAACCUUGAUCUCUUCCCUCUAAACUGCUAUCUGAUUUCUAGAGUCAGUAUGUAAGGUAGAGGACUUGAGUGAUGGUCAAACAUGCACAUUUUUCAAAUGAAAUAAAGGUCAUGAUCAUCCAAAUGUCCA
rnacentral:lncRNA from 1 species